UACGAAGGGGGCGAGCGUUGUUCGGAAUUACUGGGCGUAAAGGGCGCGUAGGCGGCCGAUCAAGUCAGAUGUGAAAGUCCUGGGCUUAACCUGGGGACUGCAUUUGAUACUGAUUGGCUUGAAUGCAGGGGAGGAUAGCGGAAUUCCCAGUGUAGAGGUGAAAUUCGUAGAUAUUGGGAAGAACACCGGUGGCGAAGGCGGCUAUCUGGACUGUGAUUGACGCUGAGGCGCGAAAGCGUGGGGAGCAAACAGG
rnacentral:rRNA from 1 species